rnacentral:lncRNA from 1 species
UUAGAUUAUAGGCCCAUUCACACUUUGUUGUACCAUUCAAGUAAGGUAAUAUCAUUCUCUUGUGGUUGUACUUCUAUAGAAUAGAUCUUAUGGUAUUUGUUGAUGUUAGGAUUUCUAAGAUUGAAACUUGUAUUUUAUGCAUGAAGAAGUAUUAACUUUGACCUUAUAGAUCUCUAAUACUACUUUUUUGAUUCUUAUGUGCAAAGAUUGAGAGUUUAAGAUGUCAUAGAAAGAUCUUGAUAGUGUCUUUUAUUUUGCUGACGUUCUUUCACUUACCUUGUAUGUAUAGUAAAAUAGCUAAUUCCAAGGAGUGAAGAUUUGUGAUAAGUAAGGUUUAUUGGAGUAUACAUAGUUGUUCGAAACUUCAAAGCUUAAAUUAAGAGUGUUUUGAGUGAAAAAAACACUCAUUUGUUUACAAAAAGGCAUUCUGAGGUUUUAAUAGUUUAAAAUUAUUUUGGUGAUUUCAAAUUCAUAGUGACUCUUUUUCUUGAUAUUUUUAAAUAGAG